rnacentral:tRNA from 1 species
UCCCUGGUGGUCUAGUGGUUACGAUUUGGUGCUCUCACUGCCAUGGCCUAGGUUCAAUCCCUGGCUGGGGAA